GGACGAGAGAAAACUGCCAAGAUGGCCGAGAGUGCGAGCCAGGUCGAGCUGUGAGCUGCUGUUUUCGUCUCGAUCCGCUGCCGACAUUCGACUGGCAAGGCGAAUUCGUCCCGACUGCAUGGAAAGUUAAUCGCAGAUCCGAAAAUGGAGCGCAAGUCUUCGCCAGACGUGGCGCUGGCGUCGGACGUGUUCGACCAGUUCUGCGCGGCGUCGACGCUCAAGUCGGUGCUGACGCUGCACCGGCACCUGUGCGAACUGCUGCGCCUGCGCCCGGCACCCUUUCCCCACUUCUACCCGCAGCUCAGGGCAAAGCUGCGUUCAUGGCGUGCGCAGGCGCUGUGGACCAAGUUUGACAAACGCGCCGCGCACAAGUGCUACGCGCGGGGGGCGGCGUGCGCAGGGACCAGGGUGCUCAUCAUCGGCGCAGGGCCGUGUGGAAUGCGGGCGGCCAUCGAGGCCCAACUUCUUGGCGCGAAGGUGGUCGUCCUUGAGAAACGCGACCGCAUCUCGCGCAACAACGUCCUCCACCUCUGGCCCUUCGUCAUCCACGACCUGCGCGCGCUCGGAGCCAAAAAGUUCUUUGGCAAGUUUUGCGCAGGCGCCAUCGACCACAUCAGCAUUCGGCAGCUUCAGGUAGUUUUACUCAAGACAGCUCUGCUAUUGGGUGUUGAAGUCCAUGUCGGUGUGUCCUUUGAGCGACUUGUUCCACCGGUGGACGCUGAUUUUGGUUGGCGCGCUGAAACAUGUCCAGAAGACCACCCUGCGUCUCAAUUCGAAUUUGAUUGUCUUAUUGGUGCCGACGGCAAACGAAAUACCUUGGAAGGCUUUGGCAGGAAGGAGUUUCGAGGAAAACUGGCCAUUGCCAUUACGGCCAAUUUCCUGAACAAGAGAUCGGAGGCUGAAGCUCGAGUGGAGGAAAUUUCUGGUGUUGCCUUCAUCUUCAAUCAGAAGUUCUUCAGAGAUCUUUAUGAGGCGACUGGCAUUGACCUCGAGAACAUAGUGUACUACAAGGACGACACGCACUACUUUGUCAUGACGGCCAAGAAGCACAGCCUGCUCGACAAGGGUGUCAUCAUAUCGGAUCAAGCCGACACAGCGCGCCUUCUGCAUCCUGACAAUGUAGACAAAGAAGCGUUGAUGGAGUACGCAAGAGAGGCUGCUGAUUUCAGCACCCGGUACCAACUGCCCCAUCUCGAGUUUGCCGUCAACCACUAUGGACAGCCCGAUGUUGCAAUGUUUGACUUCACUUCCAUGUACGCAGCUGAGAAUGCUAGCAAGGUGCUGGAGAAACAUGGUCACCGUUUGCUGAUGCAAUUAGUCGGAGACAGUUUGCUGGAGCCCUUCUGGCCAACCGGAUCAGGCUGUGCAAGGGGUUUCCUUAGCUGCUUGGACGCCUGCUGGGCAGUGCGUUCCUGGGGCAGUGGUGGUGCUAUGCCUCUGGAGGUUGUUGCUGAACGAGAGAGUAUCUACCGUCUGUUGGGUCAAACGACUCCCGAGAACCUCAGCAAAGACUUCAACGCCUACACAUUAGAGCCCAACACACGGUAUCCCAACCUCAACAUUCGAGCUGUUUUGCCUGCUCAGGUGCGAAAUCUGGUUAGCUCAGACAAUCCAGCCACCCUGGAAUUAACUUCAGUUGUGCAGCCGGCAAAGAAACGGCGGCGCGAGGUGGAGGUGCCAAACGAAAUUCUGUACCUAUGGAUAAGGAGGCAGCUUUCCAUUUUUGAAAACAUCACAGUUUCCGAGGACUUGGCUGGCAGCUUCAGGGAUGGCAUGGCUUUGUGUGCCGUGCUGCACCGUUACAGACCUCAGUUGGUGGACAUAGCAGCUCUGCAACAAGAAGAUGCCAUCCAAAAUCUGCAGCUUGCGUUCAACGUACUGGAGAGAGAAGCGCAAAUCAAACCGAUUAUUAAGGCUGAGGAAUGGGCCAGUGGGGAGAAUGUCGAGGCCAUUGUUGGCUACCUGGGCCAAGUUUAUGACACUUUUAGAGGCGAGAUUCCUUACGUCAAGCCUAGCAAGACCAUCGAGGAAAUAGAAGAGAUUUUAGUGGCGCCGAGAAAGUCCAUUGGAAAGAGUCCAAAGAAGAGGGCCAGUCUAGAGAGAGAGCCAAAGAGACAAUUCAGAAAGAGGAGGAGCCACGAUACUGAGUUUGGCGAUGCCAGAAGGCAAGAAAUUGAGAAAAAUCGUGAAGAUCGUAUGCAGAGGAGGCGCAUGGUGCGCCACCUCACCACUCAGACCUUUAUCCAAAAUAUGCGGCGCAUGCAAACUGAGGGAAACUUCUUUGAUGAACAGAAAGAGGAAAAGCCUGAGGACUUUUCCCUAACUGUUUAUCGGCAGCAUGCGCCUCAUUUUAAGGAUAGGGUCAAAGACCUCGAGCAAAAGUUCCGCUAUCCAGAUCGUGAAAGUCGAUUUUUAAAUGAGGCUGUGAAAAGAACUGCACAGCCCGAUGAGAAGUUCAGUGGCCGAAUCAAAGAGUUGGAGGAAAAGUUCAAAAAAGGCAAUCCAAUACUAGAGAAGAAACCAAAAGACUUGAGGAGAGCAAUUGGCCGGAUAGAUAAGGCUGAUUGGAAUCUGGCUGAAAUUGAGAGGAAAAUUGAGGAGAACAAAAUGGGCAAGGGCAAAGCUCAUGGUGGCGAGAAGGUGCCAAAGUGGAGUCACGACAAAUUUCUUGAUAAGAUCACUCUGAUGCAGAGUAAGCUCAAAGGUCGCAGCAAAGAAGAUGAGGCCAAGUUCCGAGAAAUUGAUUCUACGCUCAAAAAGCUUGACCGGAAGAUUCGGGAGGGCAGUGUUUGUGACCCCACCGGGCCCAGGGGUGCAAAUAAAGUUUCUGCCAUGGCCGAGCAACUGGCUAAAAAGAAUGAGCCAGUCGAAGCCCCACCGAUCCAAAAAUCAAGUUCCAAAGGAACUUUUUCUGUGGCUCAGCAGGCCAGUGACUGCCACUUUUGUAGCAAACGAGUCUACCUCAUGGAGCAGCUCACAGCUGAGGGUGUGCUCUUCCACCGUGGAUGCUUCCGAUGCGAGUACUGCGGAACCACUCUCAGACUAAACAAUUACGCUUUUGAUAGAGAUGGUCGAUAUGGGAGUCGCUUUGUGUGCACCAAUCACUUUGGUCUGCCUGGUUACAUUCGAGGUGCACGUGCUAGGAGAAAAUCUGAAGACAUGAAGGCAGCUACUUUAGAUGAGAUUGCCUUUGCUACGCCUCGAGCAGCUGAUGAGUCCGAUGCAGUUGUUACUGUUGGCGUUACUCCAGAGCGUGUGGAGUUUGAGAACCUAGCUGGAGGCUUGUCAGAUGAAGAAGGCUCAGUGGCAAGACCAGCCUCAGGACUGGCAGAGAUGGACGAAGAAGCAUGGACAGACCACAACUUUGGUGUGUCCUGUGCUGAUGAUUCCAGCGAUAGCCAGUCUGAGAGUUUAACGGAUUCUGAUGAUGAUGCUGAAGCUUUCGAGGAGGCAAAUGAUGAUGCCCUCAGUGUUGAAGGCACUCGGCAGCUGGCUGAGUCCUGGAAGCGACGCUAUUCUCACCAGUCAGCAAGUGAGAUGAGCGACGAGGAUGGAGGAAGCUCUGAGUGGAGCUGUGAGAGAGAUGAUGCGGAAGAUGAGGACGACAGUUCCACGGCCACUGAGGGUGAUGCUGUGGCUCGGGAGUUGCUGCGCCAAAAGGAGCGACUCUUGGAGCGCGCAAAGAGACGCCGAGAGGAGGACAGUGAGGGUGGAUCUGAUUGCACAUCAACUGAAACUGAGAGCGACGAAGAUGAACAAGAAGAAGAAAAUUUGGCCACAGAAAUUGAAACUGAUUCAGAAUUUGAGCUGGACUCGUCUUUGCCAACAAUAUUGAUCGAUUCAGACCUUCAAGUCUGCCAAGUAAAAUCUGGACGCAUCGAACGAGGAAAUCUGAACAAGCCAGCACCUAACAAAUACCUCCAAAAGAACAAUGCCAAGAACAAUAAUAAGCCGGGUGGCCUGCCUCAUGAAAUGACUCAAGCUGCUUUGAAACACCGGCCAACCAAUCUGGAGCUGCAGGCUAGAGAGAAAAUUCCACUCCAGCCUGUCAAAAGCACUGAAGGCAUUGCCAGCAAAACCAGUCUAGAGCUGAAGAAAAGAUAUUUGUUGGGUGGUGACGGCAGUGCCUUUGGGAAACAGGUCCAGAAGUCUGACUCUGCCUCUGCUCUAGACUCGCGGUUUCGGAGCCUGGUGAGCCAGAUUUCUGAGCAGCAGAAACUUCUCCAACCGGCAGCACAUCCUAGUCCAGCCAUGCAGUCGCUGAUGGACAACAAAUCGCUGUCUCCCAAUCGAGGCUGUCCACUGCUCACCAGCCUCUCGACUAGCAACAUCUUGAACAACCGCGCCGAAACGCUCAACAAACUACCCAAAGUGCCCUCAAGCUUCGUCCAUAUCUGUGGAAAAAAACCUGAACCACUGAAGGUUGACGACGAUAAAACGCCCGUUGUGGAGACAAAGGAAAUUCUUGAAAGUCAAGAGAAGGAAAGAAAAUUAGACGAAUUUGAAAGAGACGUGGAGAGUGAUAAAAUUUCAGAUUUGGAGAAAGAGAAAAACGACGUUUUAGAUGAUGAUGCAACGCCGCAAGUUGAGCACAGGGACAUCAUCCUCAACACAAAGGUCAUUUCUGCCGAGAGUGUUGAGGACGUUCGUCCUCGUUCACCAGCUCACGAAACUUCCAUUAUUGUACCAGACAUGUCCACAUGGCGAGCUGCACAGCAACAGGAAAUGCAGCAAAAUGAAGAAACCAGUGAGUCAGAAAGUGAGUCCGAGUCAGAAGAGUCUAGCACGGAGAGCAGCGACUCUGAAGACGAACUUCUUGAAGCUCCACUGGUUGUGCCACCCAGAGUGGAAAUCACAGAGGUUGGUGACAAGGACAUUGAAACAGAGCUGUCUGACUGGGCCCACGAGGAGAACAGUUUAGAGAUGGACGUCGAGAUUGAGGCCAGAAACAUCACGGUCCGCCGACCAAAGAAAAUCGUUACUCUGGCUGAGGAGGAUGACCUCAGUGAUAUUGAGAAGGUGGACAUCCUUACAGUUACGGAAACGAAGGAGGUGUUGACGGAAGUAAAACUAGAGGUGGAAACUCCAGUAAUCACAGUUUUAGAAGAGCCUGUAAAGUCUGAAGAAGUAUUGAUCGAAGAAUUAGACGAAGUUUUUAUCCAAGAGAAGGACGUUUCUGCUAUAGAGGAAGAGGUUUUGGUAAUUGUUGAGGAGGAAGUUUUAGUUCUUCCCGAGGCAGAUGUAGCCAAAGAUGAAGAAAUUGUAAAAGACCCCGUGGACAUCAUGACCAUCUCUGUGAGCAGUAUAGGCGAGGGCAUCAAUGACAUAAAUUUCGCUGACACAAGUGACGAGGAGGAUGCCCAGUCACAAAAAGAGGAGGAAGAAGAAGUGUCCAAGUACCAGCCGCUGGCUCAGGCCAGCUCAAGCACAAACACCGAAAGCAAAAGUUCCGACUUUGGAAAACUGCCUGAGGUGCUUUCCACUCCUGACACUGAGCAAGAACAACUUCUACAAGACGAUGAGUAUGUGGCUCACAUACAGCGGCUGCAAGACAGAGUGUCGCCCUUUGGCAACGCCAAAGACUCGAUCGACAUCCGAAAGGCGCGUCGCUCGUCCAGCAGCAGCAUUUCCAGUCCGUCGCACAAGUCAAACGGCUCGCCCGUCAAAAUGACGCCAGCCACACCAAGCACUUCUCGGAAGCUGGAGGAAAUUUCUCGCGAGCGCAGCAGACAGAAGAGUUUGGUCGAGGACCUAGUGAUGGCCAAAAUUCCGCAAAAAUCGGCCAGCGUCCGACGCCGGCUGAGCUCAAAAAGUCCCUCCGGCUCGCCUCGGAUGAUCUUGACAGCGCCCCCUGUGCCUCCUCCACCGACUGAACCGUCGCAGCCUCCAAUUCCGCCCCCGCCCGCCACCACCCAACGCCCAGUUUCUGUGUUGCUUUCCAGCGUGAAACUUCCAGAAACCCCCUUGACCCACCCAGAGGCCUUUUCCUGUCCUGACAUCCGGAAAGCCCUGUUUUCGGAAAUGUCCCCGGUCGCCCCACCAAGGUCAAAGAAAAAACCCAAGGAGCCACAAACUGAACCUUUGAAGGGCGUGAAAAGGGAAAGAAGGAAGAGUUUGAUUCAGGCCGUGUCUGAUUUGUUCAGGAAAAAGGACUCGCCAUCGAGUAGCCCUGAGAAGAAAGUGGAGGGGCCACCCCUUCCACCCCCACCGGUGAACUAUCCCCCUCAGGAAGACAGUCCAAGUGAAGGUGAAGACUCGAAGACCUUCUCGAUCGAGGGGUCUCUUCGAAGGUCAGCCAGGAGCGCGAAAAAGGCAGCUAGGCAGGCCCAACUGAAACGCCUGCGGACUGCCCAUGAGUUGAAGCGGCAACUGGAGGAGUCAGAAGAGCGGCAGCGGCAGUUGGAGCAGCGAGGGGUGGCCCUGGAAAAGGCGCUCAAGGGCGAAGGAGGCCAAGCGUCUGGUAAUGAGGCCGAACUGUUGCAAGAGUGGUUUGCCCUGAUGCGGCAGUUGUCGGAAGUUCGAAGGCAGGAACGAGAAUUGGCCAUCAAGGCGCAGGAAUUGGAGCUUCAGGAGCGACACGCCCGCCUCCAGUCUGAACUGAGAGAACGGAUGGCUCUUGAUGACCUUCCGUCUUUAGUUUGCGAUAAUUUGAAUAAUGGAGCACAAGAGCAGCCAGGACGUGGAGGAGGAGGGAAAGAUACUGAGCGAGAUCCUUGAGAUUGUUGAGCAACGCAACAGCCUGAACAACCAGCUGGAGGAGGACCGCCAAAGGUACUCCGAAGAGGAUAAAGAACUGGAAGCGCAAAUGUUGGCCAAAGGGCUGCGACUCACGCCCCUGAGAAAAGAGUCGAAUGUGUGAAAUCCGCUUUGAGAGAGGCCCGUUUACUCGGAUUUCCCGCUCACUUUCUUCCUCUUCGAAGCCGCCGCAUUUUUUAAAAUUUGAGUUCCAUUUGUGUACAACCGUCAGGUCAUUGUGAUAAUUCUUGUGAUUUUACGUUGUUGUUUUAAAAUCGGCUUGAAAAUCAUAAUUUUAAUCGAGAAGUUUUAUCCUUUUAUUUCUGCUCUCACUUUGAACAGAGUGUUCAAUUUGUAAAUUACUCACAACCGAGAUUUCUUUGAUGUGGCCUCGAAAAUUUAAAUGUCCAGGUGUAUUAAAAAAUGUAUUUUUGAAAACGAGCACCCACUGACAAAUGAGCGCCUCUCUCACUCUGUCUGUUUUUCGGAAAUGACCACUUGUUCACAAUUGUCCUCAUCUGCCUUGACAGACGGUGCAAUACGGAGAAAAAUUUACUUUUCAGCACAAUUUUUAUCGAGAGACUGCUUUUUAACGUAAUGAUUAUUUUUAUUACCUAGUCCUGUGCAUGCUGCUUGUUUUGAAAACAUGUUGUUGUAACAACCAUGUAAACAAUCGUAAUUUUAUAUCGUACUAUUGCGCCUGACUAAUUGAUUAAAAAAAAGUGGAUAAUAAAUUGUCAAUAUUUAAAUUAUUCAGCCUCGUAUGUAUGCGUGCGCGAGUUAUAUUAUUAUUGUAAUAAUUAUUAUUGUAUCAUGAUCAUUGAUUAUAUAUUAUUAAAAACCACUGGUCAAAGUAACAAAACAAACAACAGCCUU